UUAAGAAAAGUUCUCAUCCAUCUUCCAUUCUUUUCCUUCUUCAAUUUGCAGAGAACAUUUAAGACAGAGUUUGGAAGAAGAAGAGGAAUUUUACUAGAAUUUUGAGGUUGAAGAAGAGAAGGAGAACUCAAGCAAAGUGUAUCCAUGGCUGAAUCUUGGUUCAUUAUGCACAUCACUGGUUUUUAAUUCGUUUUGAACAAUUCAAAAGGAAUUAAGAGGACAGUUGGUUUUCACGCGAAUUCAGAAGGUCUCUGGUUUUUCUUGUAUUUCAGAGGGUAUCGGUUGCGUUAGGAUCUUUAUUUAGUAUGGUUGGAAAGCUUAUUCAAUUUACUACAACUUUCAUGAAGAAAUCGUGAACCAAAAAUGAUUAAAAAUAAGUUAAAUUGUAGGGACAAGUUAAACAGGUCGUGUGCACGCGAUUCUGGAAGUGGUUCUAUUUCGAGGGUUAUCUGAGUUUAUUCAUAGCGAAUCAGAUUUAUAUGUCUUCAGGUAAGUUUUAGAGGACCUCAAAAUGAAGACUAUGAUAUAAAGAACACUCAUUUUGGUUAAGUAUUGAGAAAGGUAUAGUCAUUUGAAGUUUA